UACAGAGGGUGCAAGCGUUGUUCGGAAUUAUUGGGCGUAAAGCGCGUGUAGGCGGCUUUGCAAGUCGGGUGUGAAAUCCCUCAGCUUAACUGAGGAAGUGCGCCCGAAACUGCCGAGCUUGAGUACCGGAGAGGGUGGCGGAAAUUCCCCAAGUAGAGGUGAAAAUUCGUAGAUAUGGGGAGGAACACCGGUGGCGAAGGCGGCCACCUGGACGGAUACUGACGCGAGACGCGAAGCGUGGGGAGCAAAC
rnacentral:rRNA from 1 species